AAUCAUUAGUUUUUUAAUUGAGAACUUGUAUGAAUGGUUGGACAAAGGAAAAGCUGUCUGUGUUUUAUAAAUAUUGAAUUUAACUUUUAAGUGAAAAGGCUUAAAUAAUUUAAAAAGACGAUAAGACCCUAUAAAACUUUAUAUAAAUUUAAAUUUAAUUGAAUUUUAAAAAUUUAAUUUAAUGUAAUAUUUUAUUGGGGCGAUAAAGGUAUAAGUUUAUAUUAACUGCUUUAAAUAAAAACAAUAAUAUUUGAAUAUUAUAAAUGAUCCUUUUAUAAAGAAUGAAAGACUAAGUUACUUUAGGGAUAACAGCGUAAUUUCUUUUGAGAGCCCAUAUCGAAAAAGAAGAUUGCGACCUCGA
rnacentral:rRNA from 1 species